GUGCAUGGCAGACGGGUGAGUAACGCGUGGGGAAUCUACCUCUUUGUGGGGAAUAACGCUCCGGAAGGAGUGGUAAUACCGCAUGAGAUCCAUGGCUGGAAUGUUGUGGAUGAAACCUGGGGACCUUCGGGCCUGGGGCAAGGAGAGGAUCCUGCGUCUGAUUAGCUAGUUGGUGAGGUAACGGCCCACCAAGGCAACGAUCAGUAGCCGGCCUGAGAGGGUGAUCGGCCACACUGGAACUGAGACACGGUCCAGACUCCUACGGGAGGCAGCAGUGGGGAAUUUUGCGCAAUGGGCGAAAGCCUGACGCAGCAACGCCGCGUGGGUGAUGAAGGUCUUCGGAUCGUAAAACCCUGUCGUCGGGGACGAAGGUGUGGGGGUUAAUACCCACGAGAUUUGACGGUACCACAGGAAGAAGCACCGGCUAACUCCGUGCCAGCAGCCGCGGUAAUACAGAGGGGGCAAGCGUUAUUCGGAAUUAUUGGGCGUAAAGGGCGCGUAGGCGGCUUUUUAAGUGAGAUGUGUAAUCCCCGAGCUCAACUUGGGAACUGCAUCUCAUACUGGGAGGCUAGAGUACUGGAGAGGGUGGUAGAAUUCCACGUGUAGCGGUGAAAUGCGUAGAGAUGUGGAGGAAUACCAGUGGCGAAGGCGGCCACCUGGACAGUAACUGACGCUGAGGCGCGAAAGUGUGGGUAGCAAACAGGAUUAGAUACCCUGGUAGUC
rnacentral:rRNA from 1 species